rnacentral:rRNA from 1 species
AACGAACGCUGGCGGCAUGCCUAAUACAUGCAAGUCGAACGAGAUCUUCGGAUCUAGUGGCGCACGGGUGCGUAACGCGUGGGAAUCUGCCCUUGGGUUCGGAAUAACAUCGGGAAACUGAUGCUAAUACCGGAUGAUGACGCCAAAGAGAUUUGGAGUCCAAAGAUUUAUCGCCCAGGGAUGAGCCCGCGUAGGAUUAGCUAGUUGGUGGGGUAAAGGCCCACCAAGGCGACGAUCCUUAGCUGGUCUGAGAGGAUGAUCAGCCACACUGGGACUGAGACACGGCCCAGACUCCUACGGGAGGCAGCAGUAGGGAAUAUUGGACAAUGGGGGCAACCCUGAUCCAGCAAUGCCGCGUGAGUGAUGAAGGCCUUAGGGUUGUAAAGCUCUUUUACCCGGGAUGAUAAUGACAGUACCGGGAGAAUAAGCCCCGGCUAACUCCGUGCCAGCAGCCGCAGUAAUAC